AAUGAACGCUGGCGGCGUGCUUAACACAUGCAAGUCGCACGAGAAAGCCCUGGCUUGCCAGGGCGAGUAAAGUGGCGCACGGGUGAGUAACGCGUGGGUAAUCUACCCUCGAAUUUGGGAUAACACCGCGAAAGCGGUGCUAAUACCGGAUAACAUCAUAGUUUCUUCGGGGAUUAUCAUCAAAGGUGGCCUCUACAUGUAAGCUACUGUUUGAGGAUGAGCCCGCGUACCAUUAGCUAGUUGGUGGGGUAAUGGCCCACCAAGGCCAUGAUGGUUAGCUGGUCUGAGAGGAUGGCCAGCCACACUGGAACUGAGAUACGGUCCAGACUCCUACGGGAGGCAG
rnacentral:rRNA from 1 species